GUCGAGUCUGAUGGCGCGUGUAAUUAUCGGAUUAAAGUACUAAACGUAACUUAAAUCUAAAGAUUAUAAAAAAUUGCAAGUCGUUCCCAGGAAACUGAGAAGGAAAUUUAUUCCGAAGUCUCAUGAAGACAUCAAUGCAUUUAUUAAAUCAUAAAAACAUACGAGUUAUCUAACCACAACUGUCGGUGUAUUGACAUGAUUGUAAUUUUAAAAAAUUGCUGAGCCGGAGAGCGCCUCUGAGCUCAUUUCUGUCCAGAUAUUCCAUUCCAAUAGAUAAUUAACAAUCCCCCCCUUGAGUCUUUAUCAGCCUGUUCAAACACUAGCAGGUGAACUACCCAAAAUAUUCCCCAUGGCUUUGAAAACUGACAACAGACGUCAUCAAUUGACCUGACGUUUCACCCACACAGUAUCUGAUUGUCUAUCUGUGGCCCCGGGGCUCUAGAAAAACGCUCGACGGCCACCAGGAGCCCACAUUCGUUCGGAUAAACUCAUAUCGGUACGUUAGCGUGUUGGAACAUAAAUUGUAAAUAAACAGAGGAUAGGAGUAUCACGGUGAGGAGGUUUUGCAAGAAUUUGUGGGAAGUUUUCGACGGUAUUGGUCACGAGGUCUUCAUUGGCGACUGCUGAAGACGUUCCAGUCAUUUUCGCGAGAGUGUCACUCGAAAAUUAAGUGUUUUCGGUAUUAACUCAUCAUGAAACUAAUCAACUUCCUGGUUCUCUUCUUUUUCGUAGUUUGCACCGUCGCCUACGAGAUAGAUAAAUUAAAUCCUGGCGAAAGAUGCUUGUUAAAGUGUAAGAGUCAGGGUCGCGUGAUAAAUUUGGAAAUGUCUGAACUGGGUGUUUGUUACUGCGAUGAUUAAUGAUCGAGUCUCCGACCUGGGGAACUGGGGAAUUCCUUAGGUAGUUGGAGGAUCAAUUUCGAGAUCUACUCCAUUAAUAAAAUGGAGUUGUAAUGUGCCAAUUUAUUGGAAUGGACAAGACUUCAUUAUUAAAUUAUAAAUACGAAGUAGACUGUAAUCACGUCAUAAUACAUUAAUUCCCAACUCAUAAAGAUGAGUUUCUAGGGGAAAUGAUCUCCAGAUGAAUUUAUUUCUUCGAGUAGAAGCAACAAAAAAAUUAAUUGUAAACUAUUGAAUAAAUACCCUAUGAUGUCG